rnacentral:rRNA from 1 species
UGGGGAAUAUUGGACAAUGGGGGCAACCCUGAUCCAGCAAUGCCGCGUGAGUGAUGAAGGCCUUAGGGUUGUAAAGCUCUUUUACCCGGGAUGAUAAUGACAGUACCGGGAGAAUAAGCCCCGGCUAACUCCGUGCCAGCAGCCGCGGUAAUACGGAGGGGGCUAGCGUUGUUCGGAAUUACUGGGCGUAAAGCGCGCGUAGGCGGCUUUGUAAGUCAGAGGUGAAAGCCUGGAGCUCAACUCCAGAACUGCCUUUGAGACUGCAUCGCUUGAAUCGUGGAGAGGUAAGUGGAAUUCCGAGUGUAGAGGUGAAAUUCGUAGAUAUUCGGAAGAACACCAGUGGCGAAGGCGACUUACUGGACACGUAUUGACGCUGAGGUGCGAAAGCGUGGGGAGCAAAC